AACAUUUCGAAUCCGUGUACAGAUUUCAUCAGACACCAACCCAUUAGGACUGAUCAGACUUCUAAGAUGAGUGAUGGU
rfam:Schistosoma curassoni strain Dakar, Senegal genome assembly, scaffold: SCTD_scaffold0004231